rnacentral:rRNA from 1 species
ACAACCCUUCUCCGCAAUGCAAGUGUAAGACAGAAAGGAUAAACCACUGUCAAUUAACGCAAAUGAUAUUCAAUUAGCAACACCUCAAGAAAACCCUACUUCACUCAGCGUUAACCUAACACAAGAGCAUUACAAGAAAGAUUAAAAGAAAAAGAAGGAAUUCGGCAAAUAACAACCCCGCCUGUUUACCAAAAACAUCGCCUCUUGCUAAAAUAUAAGAGGUCCAGCCUGCCCAGUGACCCAGUUCAACGGCCGCGGUAUCCUAACCGUGCGAAGGUAGCGUAAUCACUUGUUCUUUAAAUGGGGACUAGUAUGAAUGGCAUCACGAGGGUUGAACUGUCUCCUUUCUCUAAUCAGUGAAACUAAUCUCCCCGUGAAGAAGCGGGAAUUAUAUUAUAAGACGAGAAGACCCUAUGGAGCUUUAAACAAAUUGACAUCUGCUUCCACCUACUUCAAUUCCUGAAUAAAUACACAAAAUAUAGCAUCAUUGAUCAAUAGUUUUAGAUUGGGGUGAUCAUGGAGCAAAAAACAACCUCCACGACGAAAAGGAAUGUACCCUGAGCCAAAAGCCACAACUUUAAGCACUAAAAAUUUAACGCAUCUUGACCCAAUUUUUUGAGCAACGAACCAAGUUACCCUAGGGAUAACAGCGC